rfam:Dipodomys ordii contig_16060, whole genome shotgun sequence.
GGUGGCGCAGUGGUAGAGCUCUUGCCUUGCAUGCAUGAGGCCCUGGGUUCGAUUCCUCAGCACCA